rnacentral:rRNA from 1 species
CACCAGCGCCUCGAGUGGGGAUCACGAUUAUUGGGUCUAAAGCGUCCGUAGCAGGCUUUGUAAAUGCUUUGUGAAAUCGGCAGGCUUAACCUGUCGGCGUGCAGAGUAGACUGCAGAGCUCGAGACCGGGAGAGGUUAGAAGUAUUCCUAGGGUACCGGUAAAAUGGGUUAAUCCUAGGAGGACUACCUAUGGCGAAGGCAUCUAACCAGAACGGUUCUGACUGUGAGGGACGAAAGCUAGGGGAGCAAA